rnacentral:rRNA from 1 species
UACGGAGGGUGCAAGCGUUAAUCGGAAUAACUGGGCGUAAAGCGCACGCAGGCGGUUGGAUAAGCGAGAUGUGAAAGCCCCGGGCUCAACCUGGGAACUGCAUUUGAAACUGCUUUUCUUGAGUAUCGGAGAGGUAAUCGGAAUUCCUUGUGUAGCGGUGAAAUGCGUAGAGAUUAGGAAGAACACCAGUGGCGAAGGCGACUUUCUGGACUGUAACUGACGCUGAGGCUCGAAAGCGUGGGGAGCAAAC